CUAAUAUAAUAAUAAGAUACUAUUAAUCUGUGUUUUGUUUUUAGAGAUCUGUGUAAAUUUAUGAUUAACAACCGAAAUUACAAUACUUGAACAAAUGUUAAUUUUUGACAAAAUUACGCUGCAUCUUCCAUAUAAUGGUUCAACUAAAUCUAGUUUUGACCUGGGCUUCUGUGAAUGGAUUGUGGAUGGUAUUAAAACUAGUUUAUCUUUUAAAAUAAAAUCCUUUAAAAGGACAUAUACAGUAGGUGUAACGUGAUUUGGAAUGAAUACACACUUGCAGGAUUUUUCACAUAAAUCUCAUCUGGUACCUCCAUGAUACAUUUCUUUUCUUGGCGCCCCUCGGACAUCUGCCGCCCGGGACAAACUGUCCCUUUCGCCCCACCCUCUCGGCGGCACUGAUUUCCUGUAGGAUGCCUGUUAGAAAAACUGAAGAACUGAAAGAAGAAACUUUUAAACUGAUGUUGGGAACUGUAGAAGUUACUGUUAUACAUAGUAUCAUAUCAAGGCUCCAGUUCUCUAUGCUUGUUAGUUAUAUGCAAGAUAUGGCAUAGUAUAGCACACUGCAUGUGUAAAAAUGGAUGAAAGCACUAAAGAAGCAAAACAAUACAAAUUAAAGAAGAAUUUUGUCAUGCGAUCACGGUUGCAAUAUGAGAACUACCGUAACAGAAUAUAUUUAUUGUCGAACAGUUUUGA